UACGUAGGGGGCUAGCGUUGUCCGGAAUCAUUGGGCGUAAAGAGCGUGUAGGCGGCCCGGUAAGUCCGCUGUGAAAGUCCAGGGCUCAACCCUGGGAUGCCGGUGGAUACUGUCGGGCUCGAGUCCGGAAGAGGAGUGUGGAAUUCCUGGUGUAGCGGUGAAAUGCGCAGAUAUCAGGAGGAACACCGAUUGCGAAGGCAGCUCGCUGGGACGUAACUGACGCUGAGACGCGAAAGCGUGGGGAGCAAACAGG
rnacentral:rRNA from 1 species